UUUCUGGAAGACCGUGCAGGCAGUUGAGUUUGAGCAUUUGCAGGAAAUUGUCCCAUUGCCUGCAUCAAGAUUUGGGGAAAUGGCAGGAUAAAAUAAAAAGGCUUAAGAGUGGUUUCCAGCAGAAAGAUUUCUUCAGAAUCUACUGCCUAAAGUUCAGAGAUACCAGUGCUCUGUCUGUGUAAGACAGAUUCCCUCUGUCAGUGUUGGUACUAGUUUCAUCUUGGAAUGUGCGAGAAUCUACUCUUACUAUCGACCCUUUCACCCUACGCAGUUAUAAUGCUAUGAUGCCAUGGGUGCCUCCUGUGGACUCCUGGGGUGUGUGGGUUGGUAUUUGGUGAGUCAGUAGACCUCUUUGAUAAUCUGAAAUACCAUUCUCUUCUCUGUCAUUCCCAGGAGUACAUAGGAUGCCUCCAUGUCAGGCCAAAUGUAUUUAUAGUGCUGUAAUUGUGUAGGUGUGAAUAAACACCAUGAUUCUUCAUGACUUUUGCUUUGGGUGUUUUGCAGUUUCAUCUCUGCCUAAACACCGAAAGUAACUCAUUCAAUUGUUUGAUUACAUUGUUUACAAAUUGGCACAAUGGAGGAAGUGGGGCAGAUGUAGAGACAUCCUACCCCAAUUAGAUGCCAUUUGCAAAUGUGACAAGUAUGCCCUCUAUCCAUCAUGCAAGUAAUGUUUAAAAGAAAAGAUUUCCCAAUUUUUCUAUGGACCAAUCAGGGCACUUUGCUGUACUCUCCCUACCACUACUUCUGCAUACUAAGAUAUGUGUCUGGAACCCUGUCUGUUGACUUUCACCCCUUUAAUCAUUCAAGACCAUGAGAAAAAGGUCCCCAAGAAUUUGUACAGUGUUCCCUCGCUUUUAGUGGACUCACUGUUUGCGGGUUUUUGAAAAUAUUAAUAAAAAUAUACAAUAUUAAAUAUUUAUGUCCAGUGGAAGCCAGUGAGGCCAGAGACCCCGGAAGUGUGGUGUCCUGAGGCACAGCGGGGAAGGCCUGCCUCUCUGGCCUCCACAGACCCUGGAAGUGCGGCAGCCUGAGGCACGGCAAGGCUAUCUGCGUGGCUCUGGAGGCUCUGUGGAGACCAGGAAGGCAGGGAGGUGCCUUUGGGGUGGGCCGGGAAGUGAGUAAGGAAGCAUAGGUAAGAAAAUAAUAUAUAAUAUAUAAAAAUAAUGUAUAAAUACUAAAAUUAAUAUGGUGUUCCUACUUCGCAGAUUUUCACUUUUUGCGGGUGGUCCUGGAACGGAACCCCCGCAAUAAAUGAGGGAAUACUGUAUUGCUUAUGUUUGGAGAAGGCAGGACAGGGAGCAGAAAAACAAUCAACUAAUCUAAGGUUAGAUUUCAUAACUAACUAAUUAACAUCUUAUUGUGAGUGAUGUCUUCACAAAAACAUGUUUUCUGUGUGGAAAUAUGUAUAGCUUCUAUAUGUUAUCUAUUUUACUUGUCUAUUUCCCCACGUUAUUCUUGAGGAGAUGAAGGAUGAUCCUUGCCUUCAGAUUCUUGUAUGGUUUGGCUGAGUUCUGAUUCAAUUUCUCUGUGAAUGGAAUCGUUGGUCACUGCUAACAGCCACAGAAGAAGGUCAUCAAAUUGUUGCCAACUGUAAACCGCCGCGAGUAGCCUUUGGGCUGAGAAAGGCGGUAUACAAAUACCGCAAAUAACCAAAGACAACAUUAUCACGUUAGGCCUAGGACGAUGGCUGAACGAUCAAAUACUAUGUAGCAUGUCCUUCCAUAUCCCUGAUUCCUCUCCUCCUGUCCCUCCCCAAAAAGCUUUGGAUUGUUCCAGUAAGGGCAUCCUGAUGUGAUCGGCAACUGAUAAUUUCGAAAGAACAAUAAAGGAGCUACAGAAUCAA